UACGGAGGGGGCUAGCGUUGUUCGGAAUUACUGGGCGUAAAGCGCACGUAGGCGGCUUUGUAAGUUAGAGGUGAAAGCCCGGGGCUCAACUCCGGAAUUGCCUUUAAGACUGCAUCGCUAGAACGUCGGAGAGGUAAGUGGAAUUCCGAGUGUAGAGGUGAAAUUCGUAGAUAUUCGGAAGAACACCAGUGGCGAAGGCGGCUCACUGGACACGUAUUGACGCUGAGGUACGAAAGCGUGGGGAGCAAACAGG
rnacentral:rRNA from 1 species